rnacentral:rRNA from 1 species
AUUGAACGCUGGCGGCAUGCCUUACACAUGCAAGUCGAACGGCAGCACGGGAGCAAUCCUGGUGGCGAGUGGCGAACGGGUGAGUAAUAUAUCGGAACGUGCCCAGUCGUGGGGGAUAACGUAGCGAAAGCUACGCUAAUACCGCAUGCGAUCUAUGGAUGAAAGCGGGGGAUCGCCAGACCUCGCGCGAUUGGAGCGGCCGAUAUCAGAUUAGGUAGUUGGUGAGGUAAAGGCUCACCAAGCCGACGAUCUGUAGCUGGUCUGAGAGGACGACCAGCCACACUGGGACUGAGACACGGCCCAGACUCCUACGGGAGGCAGCAGUGGGGAAUUUUGGACAAUGGGCGCAAGCCUGAUCCAGCAAUGCCGCGUGCAGGAUGAAGGCCUUCGGGUUGUAAACUGCUUUUGUACGGAACGAAACGGCGAGCUCUAAUACAGCUUGCUAAUGACGGUACCGUAAGAAUAAGCACCGGCUAACUACGUGCCAGCCGCCGCGGUAA